UUCUUGCUGCAGCUAUUUGGGUAGGUGGCUCACUUUUCAUUGGAAUUGUUUUCUCACCUCUUCUCAAAUCAAUG
rnacentral:tRNA from 2 species